GGAUCAUAGUAGGUCUACCCUCUUUUGGACUGAUAAAGGGGCUGCAAAACCAAAGAAGGAAUUCAAACCGAACAUCUCAUUAUCAGUUCGGCAGCGAACGACUCGUGAGGCACCAAAACAGAACAUCAAAGUGAAUAAGGCUGCUGAGAGUCAAUUAGCACGAGAAGAUGUCUUGGAUGAUUCUGAACUGGAUGAUGGUUUUGACAAUAACAUGGUAACACAGUCCGUCCAACCACACAAAUCAAGUUUAGAUGCAAAUAAUGUAAAGGAAGAAUGUGACAAAAGUGAUAUGAAAUCGGAGAGCAAUCCAGCCAUUACAGCAGAAGGAGGGGUCACCGCUGCAAUCAAACAGAAGACCAAAGCUAGAGAAAUAAAAAUUGCAGAGGAGAAAGUACUUAAGGAACAAUUGAGGAGAGAAAAAGAAGAAGAAAAGAAAAAGAGAGCAGAAGAAAGAGUAGCCGAGAUGAAAAACAAAGAAGAAGAAAAGAAGAACAAGGAAGCAGAAAAGAAAAAGAAUUACGACGCGCGUAUCGAUUUUCUCGAACGUUCGUUUUUGGUUCAAAAAGGUAUUCAAACCUACUAUUUCUCAGUUUGGCAGCGAACGACUCGGGAGGCACCAAAUAUUGGUAAAGUUGAAGAAUCAUUCAGCAAGGGGACAGAAGGUGGGGGCUCUUCUGUAGGGUUAGCAAAACCACAAUUGAACUCUCAGGUAAGAACACCCAACAAUAGAAAAAAUAACAAGUACACUAAUUCAUCUUUCAGUUUUUCUGGUUCUAAACUUACUUCAUUCUGUGAAAAAUGUUAACCUUCAAAAUAUGAAAAAGGUUAGUAUUCAUGAGAAACUUGUGUGAAGUCCUAGAGGAAAAUCACAAGACACUAGAUCUGUGUACAUUGAUGACACUUGUCAAAAUCUAGUCAUUCAGUGGGCCCAAGACGUCCUUUCGGCAAAGAGAAUAUAUUCGAUUACGAUGUCGAUUCUGAUGACGAAUGGGAAGUUGAACCAGACAAACCUUCGACCGAUUCGGAAAGUGAAGGCGGAGAAAAUGAGCCAUACGAUGACUAUGAGGUGGACAAUGUGUUCGUUGUACCUGGUGGGUACUUGAGCGGUGAUGAACUUCGCUUUACUUCCUAACCCCCCAAAUUCGGCCUAUAAACCAAAUCCAGUUCCCCGCAAUAUGGAUAGGUGGCUUUUUGAAAAAAACAAAUUGUCGUUCGGAUUCUUUUGAAGGAUACUGCACAUUGGGCAAUGGAAAAAGAAAGAUAAUUUUUCGUGAACGGACGUUUUUGCCAAAUGCUCAGUAUGCCCAAAUGCUGAAACUAACACACAACAUUAUGGCAAGUCGACGAACUUCCGCUGGAAAGUAAUGCUGCUAUUUUCAAGAUCGAUGCCAAAUCGAUUAUAUCUCCUUCUACUAGAUGGCACCACAAUGCGUGAAAACAGCAAAAAGUUGGGUUGAGGUUUAUUUAUAUUAGAUAACUAAAAACUUGCCAUAAUAAACUGCACUUACACGAAAAUUGAAGGCUAAAAAAUUGUCAUUUAAGUUUACCUGAUAGUUGUAUUUUUAAAAUUACUUUUUAGUUUUUACCCGUGAGGCCGUGACUUGGAAAUCACAAAUCAGUCUGGCAAUGUAU